GAGAGUAGGUGCGGUGGUUGCAGCACAACUCAAGGAUUAACUAAUUCUUGGGCUCUGCUGAGGAAAGUCCGGGCUUCCCCAAAGGCUAGACUGCUGGGCAACUCCCAGGGCGAGCGAUCGUGCGGAAAGUGCCACAGAAAUAUACCGCCAUCUUGGCAAUUCAUAAUUCAUGAGCGCAAGCCACUGAGAAUUAGGUUAAAUAGCCUGAUGAAAUCACGGUUUAGCUGCCAUGAUAUUGCAUUUUUAGCUUAAUCAAGAAUGCUGAGAUGGUAAGGGUGCAAAGGUGCGGUAAGAGCGCACCAGCAGGAUCGGGAGAUCCUGGCUCGGUAAACCCCAGUCGGAAGCAAGGCGAGUUGGAAAAAGAAGCUGCUGCCUUUAUGAUUCUUUUGCCAAUUAUCUGCGAUCGGGCAACUGGUUGUAGAUCUGAGCCGCUAGAGGUAUCUGGCAACAGGUAUCCCAGAUAGAUAACCGCCAGUAAAGCUUAGUUAAUCAGUUUUGCUAACAGAACCCGGCUUACGGCUUACUCUUCUAC
rfam:Pseudanabaena sp. PCC 7367, complete genome.